UAAAAAAUUAUAAUAAAAUUAUAAUAAAAAUUAUAAAUAUUUCAAAGAGUUUGGGCUCAGUAACACCAGCAGAAGCCUGUCUACAACUGUAGGUUAUAUUAGUGUAAAAUGUUUGUGUAGAAGAGAGGGGUAGGUGGAUUUUGCUUUCUACAGCAUUAAAAAACCCUACGCUUCUAUAUCAGGGCAUAUUUUAUUAAAUAUUUUCAUUUCAACUUUUAUUUUCAGUGCUCUGCAAAUAUUAAUUAAUCUACGCAUAUUCUUGUGAGGGAGAUAGGGAAAUCCAAUUUUAAUGUGCAAUCCACCAGCCCCCUGUGCCUUUCCUAUUCUCCUCAUAUCUUUCAUAUGAACCUAUUACAGAGCCAGACCUUGAGAAGUUUGGAAGGAAGCCUUCCUCCAUUUCAUCACAGUGUGUUAGAUUGUAAUUCAGAUUCAGAACAGAAAUAAUUUAAAUAUGGUUGGAAACAUCACACACACAUUUAUUUUGCUUCACCAUGCCCAGUUUUUGUGUAAGUUUUAAAGCUAAACAAGCCAUGCUCUUUUAAUCUUUUAUAAGAAAAGGUCUUAAUUCCCUUGUGGUAGUAUAACAGUAAUGUAGGUGGGAUGGUUCUGAAAUUAUACAAGAAACAAGGUUGUUAGGGCAAUAUCUUGUGUUGGACCAACUGCGCAAUUGAGAUAGAGUUAGACAAGCUUUCAAAUGUAAAACAUUCUUCAUCAGGUCUGGUCAGUACAAGCCAAGCAUAGCAUAGUAAAAAAAAGUUGUAAGAGAGUGGAGAAAGAAAUUGUUCCGGGGUAUCAGGCAAACAAUUAUCAGAAGAAAAGAAACUGAAUACUCUGAGAUCAAGACCUAUCAGAAGAAAGGAGGGUCAUUCUAACCUUUCACAUAUGAAAAGAAUUCAGAAGUCGGGUAGAUUAUAGUGUCCCAUAAAACCAACAUCAGUGUUAAGUCUCUGGUUCUUAGCUUCUAGCCAUCUUACACAUUUUUCUUCUAAGUUCACCUGUUCAAGGUGCCAAGUACUGUAGAUUUCCCUUGAAUUUAAGGAUGGUAAAGUCAGAGAGGGAGUGGUUGUACUGUGAGCAAUGUUCUCCUAAAUGUGGAUAUGUCUGUUCUUUUUUUUUUUUUUUUGGUGGGAGUUCAUUCUGGUCCAUAGUUGCUGCUUAGUUUCAGCCAUGUAGUUGCCAUGAGGGGAUGUGGUGGGUUGAAUCAGGUAUAUCACAUUUUGGGAAAGGUGUGUUUAGGAUUCUGAUGGUUUUGUUAUGGGGGGGGGCAAGUGGAGUGUUGAUAGUAGCGGCAGUGGAGAUUUGUUGACUGGUUAAGCAUUUCUUGCUAAGGUAAUGCUACUUCCCACAUGAUAUCUAUUGACCGGUGAGGAGUUUGUUCCUAGAAAACUGCACCAUCAAACCUGCACUAUACUUCUGUUACAUGGAUGAGUUGACCUAUAUGCUGUAUGCUGGAUCCUGCAUGCCCACCUCCCCUCCCGCUGCAUGACAGAUCCAGCACAGACAGCAUCUAUUCCAGGACCCAUGCCACAUGCAGUGCCCACCCUGGAUGGUUUGAGAUCUGUGCCACAUGCAGCCCCCAGCCCCCUGGCCAGUCCAGGACACAUGCUGCACAUGGUGGCUGCUCUGGCCAGUCUGGGGUACGGCAUACAGUUUGGGUCCUGUACUGACUGGAGUAGGUGCUGUAUGUGGCACACAGACUGGUUGUGGGGAGGGGAGUGCCACAUGUGGCAUGGAUUGGAUCCUAGCCAGAAUGGGCCACCUAUAGUGAGGAUCCCAGACCAGCUAGGGUGGGCACUGCAUAUGGUGUGGGUCCUUGAGAGGGGGCUGCGUGCACUGGAUCCGUCAUCUGUCUGUGGGCCUGAUUUAGCUUGUGGAUCAGCCCUGUGUUUAACAGCCCUGCCUUGCACAAUGAUAUUAGUACAUCCUCGGUACCAGUUUGGCCUUGUGCUGGUGUUGUUUUUCAGCCUAAAACAUUAUUCAUCAUCUUUAGUAUUCACCCCACAAAAGUAUUUGUAAGAUAUGUAUCCCUUCUCAGUCUCUGUUUUGCUAUCUAUACCCUGUAUAAUACACACCAAAUUGCAUUUUCUUUUUUCACAGCUGCAUCACACUGUCACCUCGUGGUCAUCCUACAGUCAACCAGUGUAACCAGGACCUUUUCUUCCUCACAUAUCUUUAGUCUGUGCACCCCCAUGUUAUAGCUGAAGUCCUUGUUAUUGGUCCCUAGUUGCAUGACUUUUCAUUUCAUACCAUUAAAUGCCAUUCCUUUUCUACUGUUCCAUUACGCAAGAUUGUCUAAAUUGUUUGGUAUAAUAAAGUACUUUUCUUCUAUAUUAGCAAUACCUCCAAGCUUAAUUUCAUGAGGUGACUUGUUGAUAAAAAUAUUAAGCAGGAUGGACCCUAAGACUGAUUCCUGUUAAACACCACUGGUAACCACUCUUCAUAAUUCACCCUUUAACAUGAUCCACUGUCAUUUUUCUUGGAGACAAUUCCUUAUCUACCUUGCAGUUGUAACCUUGAUCUCUGUCCAGUUAGGACAAUAAUUUCCCAUGAGGCAUGGCAGCAACAUAUUUGCUUCAGUCUACCUAAAUUAAUUCAACUGCAUUAAACUUAUUCUAGAAAUCUGUUGUUUGUCAUAGAAUGUUAUUAAAUAGUCUGGCACAAUCAUGCUCUGAUAAAGUCAUGCUUUGUUUUGUCUAUUUUUAUUUUUUUCCAUAUCUAUAGCUAUCUUUUCCUUUGGUACCUACUGUUGGAGUCAAACUGACAGACCUGUAAUCUCCUGGAUUAUUUUCUCCCCUUUUUAAAAAUCGGAGCUACAUUUGCUAUUUUCCAUUCAUAUUCCUGACUUGACAGUUUCUGUGAAGAUCUGUGCUAACGGAGUUUCUAUUUCCUGUAGCAAUUUCUUCCCAAUUUGCUGGGCCCUGCCUGAAUAUUUUAAAUUGUAGGACUGAGGCCCUACUCAGAACUGACCUAUUAGCCAGUUGCUUUUAUUUUCUUGUUACGUUUUAAUUACUCAGCUUCCAAAUAGAUUAAUAUUUUUGUGUGUGUACUGGUGGGUAUUUCUGAUUCUUUAUUUCCUGGUUUUGAAGGUAGAGAUGAUUGGAGUUUCUCCCAAGAGCAUCAAACAUAAAAUAUUGCUAAAAUAAAUAGACAUCUCCACAGAAGAAAGUAAAGAUGUCAACUUCAUACAGAAAAGCUAUUUAAAAGGACAAAGUAAUGGAUUAAAGUGAAUGAAUCCUAUUUUCAAGUUGCCUCUUCUGAUGUGAUAACUGGAUAUCACAAUUUCUUCUAGGUACAUGGACAUCUUAGUUUUUCAGCAUUGCAGUAGCAGUUAUUGCCAUUAGUUCUAACUUAGGAGAAAGGAAAUGUCUGAGAUCAAACUUGAUUUAUGAGAAGGUUUUUUAUUCUUAGCAGUCAUGUACAGCUUUUACUUGUCAAACUUAAAGAUACUAGGAUUGUCUUUAAAACGUCCUGCAUACAGUUGUCAAGAAUGACAAGGAAAUUUAGACGCUAUAAAAAUUCAGCUAAAAAUUCAUAAUGCCUCUCUGCACUGUAAUAUAUUUCAUGAUAAAUACCAAGUGCCUCUGAAGAGGGCUUUAUAAAUUAGAGAUGCUGUCAACCUCUGUUUAGUCCUCAAAAUGCCUUGUAUGAUUUUAAGGUGCUUCCAUGUGCAUCAUUUCACAUGCACACAUGUAAAAACUGCCCAUAUGUUAACUUCUAAAAUUCCAUUUGUGAUCUUGGUCAUAUAAUAGGUAUGUAAAACAGGGCUAUUCCCCUAUGAGGGGGGAUCUUUUUGGAUUUCACCACUAAUUUCCAACGUCAACUGUUGUUCUCCCCAAAUUUAACAACAUGGCAAUCUUCUCUUUACAAGCAUUGACUCAUUAACCCAAUUUGCAAGAUACUCUUCCUUCCUAUCUUUCAUGUGUAGAACAACUUGUCCACUUCCUUUAAACAUUAUAAUCAGAACAUAUUAGUUUCCAUAUCUUACGCUUUAUGUAUAGUCCAAAAAUACUUGUAACUGUUUGGUAUAAGUAUGGCUGUGUUAGCUGCGGCUUGGUAAUCCCAAACUUGAAUCAAUAACCUCCUGGCUAUAGGACAAUCUGGACAUGGUUCUGUCACUUGCUCUUGCAUGAACAGUUCUAUUUUGUAUAAAUACAAGCAGAGUGCAGGGUAGAUUUUUAUUUUAUAGCCAACUAAACUGGCAAUAUAUAACACAAACUUUUGUGAACCCCAGCUCAUUUCAUGAGAUGUUGCAUGUCACUGAUUUAGUUCAUCUAUAAGAUACAAAUCUACCCUUUCUGCUGCCUGACUUCAGACUAACAUGUCUAACUACCUUUCUUUGCUCAUGCAUAAAUACAAAACAGUCAUUGAGACAGGGAGGUGAGAAUAAUUGUUUAGCUUGGUGGUUAAUGCUUAUGCUCCUGGGAAGUGGGAUGAUAUGUGUUUGAAUCCUAUCAGGCAGAAGAAGAAAUUGGACCCAAGUCUCCCAUGUACUGGGUAUGUAUGGUAAACAGUGAGGUGUUGUAUAGAAGGUCAGUGGCACAAUGGUGAGUAGGUGAGGAGGGUACAAGCUAUGGGUGCUGCCUAAGCAAGGGGCACCUCACCCUCCUUUCCCCCAUCCCCUGUUUCCUCAUACACAUCCUGCACCUUCCCUGCAGUGGUUCCAUUUCUAGCAGGAGGAGGAGCAGGGAAGUGGUGGUGGUAUGCAGUGCAGGAGCAACAGCUGUUGGUUCACUGCUAUUGGGAGAGAUAUCACUUCCUUUUUUUUCAAUUAAAAAUAUGUGUUUUCCUGGCUGCUGGACAUGCAAGUUGGCAGCAAAAAAAGGAGGUGACCCAAUCUCUCUCAGUAAAAAUGAACUCUGGCCACUGGCUGCUCUGCUUCUGGCCACUACUUUGCCUACCAUGCUUCCUCAGCUGGAACCACUGCAGCAAGAUGUAGGGUAUGAUGGACACAGUGGUUGUGUCUACACAUGUAUUUACAUGCAUCUAAACUUAAUGCGCCUGUGCUUAAUGUGCAUUAUGGUGAUUUAGGCAUGCGUCUACACAUAGACACACUAAUGCACAUUAAGGCACAUGAACUUUUAGGUGCAGUUAGUUAAGUCACAUUAACCCCUACGCAGACAUGUUAAUCCACAUUAAGCAUCUACACAUGGGCUAAUACGGCUUAGUUAAUCAUGCCUAAAUUUGAUACUUGCUUUAUGCAAGUAUCAAAUUUAGGUAGGAUUAGCCUAAAAUCAUCAUUUUUAAGGUUCAUUAAGGGCAUGCAAGUGUGGAUAUGCGCCCUUAAUGUACCUUAAAAAUGGCAAUUUUAGGCUAAUCCUGCUUAAAAGGGGUGCCCAGUAGUGCCCAAGGCAUAGUAUUGGUCAGUUAUACUUCUGGAUACUGCUGCUUCUCUAGACCCCAAUUUCUUUUACAGCCAGUGUUAUUUGGCAAAAUAGACCUGAAUUUAUUAAUAAUUUGGGGGUUAUUGAUGCUAAAUUAAUUUGCCUAAUUUAAUAUUUGCUGGAAAAAAUCAUCCAGAUCUAGUUGCCACCAAAAGACUAGGCCUUCUUAUCACCUUUCACAUAAAGUGGAGUUGACUUCUUGGUUUACAAGUCUGCAUUAAGGUCAAAUUUUAUUUCCCACUUUGUGCUACAACAACAUGGCAAAGAGGCUAAAGCAGUUAAGUGGCCUUCACACUCUGGCUGUGUUGUGCUACUCUAUACUAGUAAAUCUCUGCUUAGAAGUUAAAUUUUACUUUAAAAAUGUAUCUCUAUAUUUAAAUUAUUAAUUAUAUUGGAUAGUGUUAUCUUUGGGUUUCUUGUUUAUUGCUGGUGCAUGAAAUUUUUAACAAUUAGAGAAGCAAGAGAAUAUUCUCCAAAAAAACAAACCAAAUUAUAUACAAUUGAGUAUAGAUUGAGAAGAAAUAUUUGUUAUUUUAUUGUAAAAACAUUUUUGUGUCAUUGUAAAUAUGAAAAAGUAAACAUUACAACUCUAGGAAAUUUAGAGGUAAGGUAUCCAAGGCCGUGUCCAGGUGAGCGUGGCCGUGCAGUAUGUGUUGCAAUAUGUUGUUCUCCACUCCCUUCCAGUGUAGAGAACAACAAAACAUGCAGUAUAUGGCACAGGAAACAUGUCUGCAGUGUCACAUACAGUGUGUUUUGUUUUUCUCCACUCUGUAAGGAAGCAGUGUGGAGGGGUUUUCUGACCCUUGGAUAUCAAAGGGUCAAAAAAACCCGUGGAUAAAUAAACCGGAGCUGUGUAUGCGGUGGCAGCAUGUGUUGCCCAAAGAACAGAGCCUGGCCAUCUGGAGCUGUGCUCCACUGCUGGCCAGGCUCUGCACAGCAGGAUUGCCACUUCACAGCCCAGGAGGUCCCCAGGACUCCAGGUAAGACUGCUGGGUCCAGCUUGGUGCUGGCCUUAGCUUCCUCUACCCCACCUGGCAUAACUUGCUGCAUGCCAGCACGUGCGUGGUACGGGCGUUCACCGGGGACAACUAGCAGCAGCACAAGGUGUGCUGCUGCUAAUUGUCCCUGCGGAACCAAACAUCCAUGCAUGUCUGGACGUGGCCCAAAAGCAUUAAGAUGCACAGUGCACAAUUAAAUCAUCCAAACAACCUUAAUUCUUCCCUAUAGUAACAACUACACAGGAAAAACAACUAAUUUUUAAAAAUCAGUUUAAUAUAGUUUGGGUCCACAUGCAUUAAGAUUUUAGUGCUAUGCUUACCGUAUGGCAUUAGUCUUUAUGAGACAAGGUUUUUUGGCCUUGCAUGUUUAUUUCCUUACCUUUAUGUGUCUGAGUUUCUUUUUAAACAUAAUUUUAACUCUUACAACUAGAAGUUAACCCAUGAUGUGAUGAAGUUAAAGAACCAGGACAAAGUCAGAAUUAUACUGCCUACCCUUUAUUUUUGAGACUACAAAGACUUCUCUAAUGAUGUAAUUCUCCUUCGUUGUGGAUUUGAAACCAAUCAUCCAUUUACAUCCAGUUCAAUGACAUAGAUCACAAUGUAAUGCAUUCCCCAAAACAAAUGGAAGAGGCUAUAUUUACAGAUUACUUAUAUUAGAGAGGAUAAAGGGGAGAUAACUUAAAACUUGAACAGAUCCCAAAAUAUUUGAAAAAAAAUCCUUGGAUAAGUGUGAUAGUUAUUAUGGGUGUCAUAUAUCAAAUGGUGUGUAGUUUGGCAGGAGAUUAGGUCAAGCUAAUUGUGGAACCUUUAUUUCUAAUUUCCAUAUUUUAAAACAAUUACAUUGAAUACUGUAAUUUAACUUAUUAUGUUGCAGCUAUAUAGAAAAGCUCCAUAAAUGUUUCAAAGCUAGAAAAUCAAAAUGUUUUGGAGGAAGUGAAAAAGCCUGUCUCUUUCAACAUUAAAAAUGCUUGUCUACUUGAAGAAAUUUACUAGAAGAACUGUACUGAUACAGAGUUUAUCAAGUCAAUGAAAGCAAUGAAAAUUAAAUGGAUAUCAAGUACAUUGCCAGGAUGUGAGGAAACCAGAAACAUAUGUAUUUCAUGAAAAUAUUCACUUUAAGGUACUCUGUCCUUAUUUACAAAUAUUUGAAUUUAUGAUAAGUUUAAUAAAUAAAACCUUUUUUCCCCAGGAACUAAUAUACCCAAUACCUAAAAAUUGGUGGGACAUUAGAGACACUUAAAUCUCAUAAAGAGUAACUGGGUUUUCAAGCAUAUGUGACACUUGGGAAUUAUAUUUGGUCUCUACAGGAAACCAAACUCUGUAGUCUAGCACAACAGCCAUUUAGUUUUUCUGUUUCCUUUAUCAUAGUUAAAUUAUAGUCCAUUCGAUAUGUAAGUGCUGGCAAAAUUGUCAAAAUACCCUUUUAUAGCAGUCGCAAAUUUAUAUGAAAAUAGUAUUUAGUAAUUCAGUAAGGGUCUGCUAGGUUCUAAAGGUAAAUUCUAAACAACUAUUUACAAAAUAUGAUUAGAGUGAACUCUAUGUAUGCCUGAUUUUCAUGGAUUUUUAGGCAAGAGGGUAAGAUCAUUUAGUUCAGUGGUUCUCAACCUUAUUUGACUGAAAUUCACACACCUGCCUCCCCCGCCCUUUGAUCCAAAAAUGCCAGCUCUUAGAUUUCACUCAUUUUUUGACUCUGGAAAAUAAUAAAGCAAUUCUUCUUUUGGCAAGAACUCAGAAAGACCACAAAAGGUCAGAAUGUUUUAGGCACAAUGGAUUCCUAUUUGUAAUCUCUGUGUUUAAUUUGUGAAUAAUGUUUAGGUAUUAGCACACCUAACAGUGCUAAUAUUAUGCUUAACUCUUAAAAGGAUCUCAAAGUACCCUAGGGUGCCAUGCCAUUCUGGCUGAAAAUCAUUGGUGUAUAUUAACAUAAGACAUAUACAUAUUUACCAGUAACUCCUGUACCAGGCCUACAGCUAAUAAACUAGAUUAGAAAGACAUCUAAUCUUGGUUUAAAGACUUCAGGUGAUGGAAAAUUCACCACACAGCUAGAAAAGCUUUAUUAUCCUUCUGGGUGCAAUUUUUUAUUUCCAGUUUGAGAUUCUCAUCAGUACACUAUUAUCUAGCUGAAGCUACUAUAAAGUGGGUGCACAGCUGGUUGGAAAACCACUCUUAACAGUGGUGACACGCAGGGUGUGCACCCCCUCACAGCCAGCAUUCCCGGGCCGGGGGGGGCAGGCAAGAGUCCUGGUGUUCCCCUGAGAGCAAUGGCCGGGGAGUGGGAGUGCCAGGAGAAGGGACCCCCUCCAUGGCCAAUCACUCUCACCCAUAAGUGCCAGCAGCAUGCCUGGAAGUGUCAGUGGUGCACCACUGCCACUUGCAGGUUGGAAGGAUCAGCCACGAGGGGGACACACCCCCCCAGUCGCUGACUGGCCACUUGGGGAGCAAGUGCCCCCCCUGACUCAGGAGGCACCAGUCACCCAUGACUUUCAAAGUGUUGUUAUGUCUAAAUUGAAGGAUUUAUUAAGUGAGAUUAUUUUUGGGUCUGUUCUGGGUUUGGUACUUUUAAACAUUGUCAUUAAUGAGUAAGAUGAUGAAAUAGAGGGUAGAAUUAUUACAUUUGCAGAUGGUAACCCUGUGGGAGAUGUGGCAAACAUGAGACCCACGUCCACCCGUCUCCCGGAGCUUUCUCACCUCUUGCUGGGUCGGGUAAGUUACCUCCAUGCUUCUGGGUGCAUACUGUCCAUCCUGACAAGUCACUAACAUGUUCCCAUGCCUCUGCAUGAGCUGCCUCAUCCUUCUUGGUAGCUCUCUCUCAAACUCUGUCCUCUUCCAGGGGUAGAGGCUUGUGGGUGGCGAUCUUUCAAUGCUUCCUCUGCACUCCUCUUCCAGUCAAUAAUUAAUGUCUUCUUUUAGGUGUGUGACUCUCCUGACAUGAUGACAUCACAGUCUGCGCCUGGCAUCUCUGACUCCUGACAAUCUCACAACACAGACAAAUACAAAGUCCUGUAUCUAUCAAAAUUAAGCUCCUGCCCACUCCCAGGCAGCAACAGGAUCAUCCUUCUUUCUUCUUCUUCAUACUGGUGUUGCCAAGUUUGUUGCUGAAAACUGUUAUUUCAAAGUAAGUAAAAUGAGUAUUUAUCUAAAAUUAGAGAUUUAGUUAAGCAAAAUUGACAGAAGUCAUUUUUUUAUCAGAAUCAAGUUCACUUAUAGACUUCCACCAAUUAACAGAAUAUGUGAAUUAAAAUAGCUUUUACAAAAAGGAGUCCUGAGGAGUCUGUGUUGUAAAUUGGUUUAAGCCACUCUUGUGUAGCAUAUACAAUAAGAGAAAAGGGACAAAAAGGAUAAACAAGUCCAAGUAUUGAUUGCUACACUAUUAUAAUGACAUUUCAAGGUAAUUUCUAAAUUCCACAAUAUUUUCCAAGCCAGAAGGAUUGCAGGAAACUCUCUACCCUGGUAAUGAAAGCAAAGAAUGUAGGUGCCAGCAAUUAAUUCAUGAAGAGGCUUAUUUGUUUCAUUUCCUGCUCUAGACUGGCCUUUUCUUCUAGCUUGGCUAGAGAGCAGUUCAUAGAUCAAUGAUGCAGUCUAUGAAAGCAAAUGAUUGAUAUACCUUGGAGUUUAGAUGGAGCCCUUCAUCUCCAGUGGGUCUGACAGAUGUUGGGGAUGAGUCUGGAGCAGGCCUUACUGGUGAAAUUCUGGUUCUGGAGUACAUCAGAGGAUUUGAAUGGAAGGGAUUUGUUCAGUCCUUGUCCCCAACCUGUCUCUCCCCUCCUACCCCCCGGGGACCCACUGCUGAUGUGCUCUAGGCAAGCGCAGAGAGUCUAGGGCUAGGGACAAACAUUCAAAAAGCCUGAGCCUGCAUUGAUUCAAUCUUUGCAGGUUAGUCUAACCUGGCUAAGCUGAACUGGUUUGUAACUGCACAGAAAUCCUCUCUGGACUGAAGAAAUGCAGGCACAUGCCUGCAGUGGCUCAGGCCAGAAGCCAGGGGGGCUACAGCAGCCCUCCUUUCCAUUCCACAAUGCUGAGCUGAGGGGGUGGUGUGGCCAGGCCCCAACAGGAUGCUCUGAUUAGAUGCCCCUUUCUGACCAGCCCAGCAGGGAGUUGAUAACACAGUGUUUAUCACCCCUAACUCAAGAAAACAAAAGCCUCUCUCAUUAGUUCAAGCUCACCUUAAACAACGUUUUCCAAGGAAGAAAUAGAGGGACAUUACCAGCUACAUGUUGAUUAACUCCAAAAACCCGUAAGUCCAUCAUUAGCUAGCAUACCACAUGCUGGCUACGGUCCAUACUUUGGGAGAGGGGAGGGGGGGAAUCCUUGCUUGAGCAGGGAGUUGUGAGGGGGGCGUUGGGACAAGGGGCAGCCAGGCAGAGUGGCAUGGCAGAGCUGAGAGUGCCACCCAGGGCUGCAAAGCAUCUGGGAUGCUGGGAGACUCUGUUUUAAGUUAAACCAGGGAGGGGUCUGGGACAGGCAUUGCAUAAACCAGUUUGAGCCAAAUCAGUUAAGUCUGAUACUACAUUCAACCAGGUUUAUCUCAAACUGGUUUAAGCCAUUUUCAAACUGGUUUAUGUUCACUGAAUGUCUUUUCGGUUACAGGUUUAAACCAGUUUCUGAUCAUUUAAACCAGUUUAUGUAUAAUGUCUGUCCUUAGCUUAUUUGUUCUCCUUGAGCGCAUCAACACGAGCGGGCACAUGCCUCUUGCCCUGCCUCAAACCCCUUUGAGGUGGGGCAACAGGCAUGUGUGGGAAUGAAAAAAUGUUCCCCAUGCUUCAAGUUUGCAGCACAGGGAGAAAAUUAGACCCCUGGAUAUCCAAGGGUCUAAACAAAUCGAAGUUUUAAAAAGUGGAGCAGGGCACGGUCCCAGACCAUGCCCUGAGGCAAAUGGAAGCUGGGUCCUCUACAUAGAUGCUUUGGCUCCCAGAGCAUCUCUAUAGUAGGCCCCUCGCCCUGGUGCUGAAACACUUGGCCAGCCAAGCCACGUGUUUCAGCGCUAGGGCUCCGGUGCUGGUGAGUAAGGGGUCAGGGGGCUGGAGGAGGGGGGAGGGGACCAUGGGGUGGACCCCCAAUGGCCCUGCCCACUCCCCCAGACCCCUGAGCCCUGCCCUGGCCGGCCCGUAUCCCUGCCAGCCCCCCUGAGGCCCCUGACCCCUGGCAAGGCUAGCCUCUCCCCCCACCAGCCCCCCAGGACUCCCGCUCCCUGCCAUGGCCAGCCGCUCCCCUUGCCAGCCCCUACGAUACUCCUGCCCCCUGCUGCAGCUGGCCCCUCCCCCCACCAGACCCCUCGAGGCCCCUUCCUCCUGUUACGGCCAGCCCCUCCCCCUGUCAGCUCCCCCAAGGCCCCUGACCCCUGCCGUGGCUGGCCCUUUCCCCCACCAGGCCCCCCGAGGCCCCCGACCCCUGUUACGGCCAGCCCGUCCCCCUGCCAGCCCCCCCAAGUCCUCCAAACCCUGGCGAGGCCAGCCCCUCCCCCGUCAACUCCCCUGAGGCCCCUGACCCCUGCUGUGGCCAGCCCCCUCCCCCCAAGCUUCCUCAUCCCUGCCCCCCAUCCCAUAGUUUUAAAAAACAAAAACAAACAAAAACUGGUACUUACCUGCCCUCUUGCUGUGUCUAGCUGACUGGGGCCCCGCCCGCACAGUGCUGGGAAGGGGGACAGCCCCAGCAGCCCCAGCCCGGGCCAUGCUGCACUCCUGCUGUCCUGUGCUGCCUGGGGGGCUCUGUCAGGAGGCUCUGGAGCCCCUCCACCCCUGCUUCUAAGAAUUAACCAUAUUACAGAAUCAUGGAAAAAUAGGGCUGAUGAAGAUCAUCUAGUCUAACUCCUUGCCCAAGGCAGGAUCAUCCUUCUCUAAGUUGUCCCAGACAACUAGACAUGGUACUGCAAGUAAGGUCUUACCCACGUGGAAUAGGGCAGAGGAAUCAGUUCUCAUGAUCUGCAUACCAGAUUCCUGUUAAUACAUCCUACUAUGCUAUUAAUUUUGUUUGUAACAAAUUAUAUAUCGUUUACAUUGUAUGCAUUCUGGGGCAGGGAACCUAUUAGUUUUAUUUGUCUUCUAAGAAUCAUGCUCACCUACUGUAACCUAAAUACAAUACAGCAAUAUAACAUUAAGAUCAUAGAAGAUUUAUCUCCCAGAAGUCUAAUCCUGAAUGAGUCAAUAAUCAAUGUACAUCACAGAACAAAGGUAUAAUGCACCAUCUGCGUGAAACCUUGCUGAAUAAGCUAGCUGAUAAAUUCUGUUCUAGCUGCAAUUUCUGCAUAUAGUGUGAAUUUCAGUAACCCAGUCGUAAGGUAACACAGGCAUGGUUACAUUUCCAAAGUCAUUUUGUCCCCCUAGGCUUUUUGCUUUUAAUUAAUUUUUCUAGCAAUGUUAGUAAAGCCUCAGUUUUAAAUGCUUGUGCUGCACUGAUUAAAAUGAGACUUCCUAUUAAAAUACCUAUGCAUUUUAGUACCAUGUUUCAUUUGACAGUUUUAUAUCUUUUAAAAUAGUAGGAUUUUCUAAAUGAAUUACAAAGAAGAAAUCAAGUAAUGCCUUUUCUUCAUCAAACAGUGUGUGUUUGACAUCUGACAAUUUAUUCAUUUUUAAAACACAGUCAGAAACAGUAGUAGGAUAUGACGGUGAAUCAGUGACAGUCAUGUUAGAGGUGUUAAUGGAAAUUAACAGAGGUGGUUGACAUUUUUUGACUGAAAUUUUCUGUCAAAUGCAGUUUUGACACAAAAGUAAACAUGUACUAAAACUAUUUGUUUUGAAGUAAAUUUGCUAAUUUUGUAAUAAAAACUGAAAUUAAAAAAGCAAUUGUAUUUAUA